CAGCUCGGCCAGCCACAGCAGCAGCGGUGGUGGCGGUGGUGGGGGUGGCGGAGGCGUUGUAGGCGGAGCUGGCGGUGACCAAGUGCUGGAGGUGGGCAUACGCAUCAAGAACAUCAAUCGAGCGCGCUUCUAAAUGCAUCCGCUGGAGCAGCUAAGGGAAGUGAAACAAACGGACAACUCGAAUGUGUGAGGGAAUAUAUUGAUUUAUAUCUAUAUAUAUACAUACAUAUAUAUACAUGUAUAUUGGAAAGGAUUAGUAUUAUAAACGAAAUAUAUAAA